rnacentral:rRNA from 1 species
UACGAAGGGGGCUAGCGUUGUUCGGAAUUACUGGGCGUAAAGCGUGCGCAGGCGGUUCGUUAAGUCAGCUGUGAAAGCCCCGAGCUUAACUUGGGAAUUGCGGUUGAAACUGGCGGACUAGAAUCUGGCAGAGGGGGGUGGAAUUCCACGUGUAGCAGUGAAAUGCGUAGAGAUGUGGAGGAACACCGGUGGCGAAGGCGGUUCUCUGGGCCUUACCUGACACUGAGGAGCGAAAGCGUGGGGAGCGAACAGG